AGACGUCUACAUUAGAUACCCGCGUAGUCCCAGCCGUAAACUAUGCGCGUUAGGUGUAUCGGUGACCACGAGUUACCGAGGUGCCGAAGGGAAACCGUGAAACGUGCCGCCUGGAAGUACGGUCGCAAGGCUGAAACUUAAAGGAAUUGGCGGGGAGCACCACAACAGGUGGAGCCUGCGGUUUAAUUGGACUCAACGCCGGGAAGCUCACCGGAUAAGACAGCGGAAUGAUUGCCGGGCUGAAGACUCUGCAUGACUAGCUG
rnacentral:rRNA from 1 species